UACGUAGGGGGCUAGCGUUGUCCGGAAUCAUUGGGCGUAAAGCGCGUGUAGGCGGUUCGGUAAGUCCGCUGUGAAAGUCGGGGGCUCAACCCUCGGAUGCCGGUGGAUACUGUCGGGCUUGAGUACGGAAGAGGCGAGUGGAAUUCCUGGUGUAGCGGUGAAAUGCGCAGAUGUCAGGAGGAACACCAAUUGCGAAGGCAGCUCGCUGGGACGUUACUGACGCUGAGACGCGAAAGCGUGGGGAGCGAACAGG
rnacentral:rRNA from 1 species